GAUGAACGCUGGCGGCGUGCCUAAUACAUGCAAGUCGAGCGAACAGACGAGGAGCUUGCUCCUCUGACGUUAGCGGCGGACGGGUGAGUAACACGUGGAUAACCUACCUAUAAGACUGGGAUAACUUCGGGAAACCGGAGCUAAUACCGGAUAAUAUAUUGAACCGCAUGGUUCAAUAGUGAAAGACGGUUUUGCUGUCACUUAUAGAUGGAUCCGCGCCGCAUUAGCUAGUUGGUAAGGUAACGGCUUACCAGGGCAACGAUGCGUAGCCGACCUGAGAGGGUGAUCGGCCACACUGGAACUGAGACACGGUCCAGACUCCUACGGGAGGCAGCAGUAGGGAAUCUUCCGCAAUGGGCGAAAGCCUGACGGAGCAACGCCGCGUGAGUGAUGAAGGUCUUCGGAUCGUAAAACGCUGUUAUUAGGGAAGAACAAAUGUGUAAGUAACUAUGCACGUCUUGACGGUACCUAAUCAGAAAGCCACGGCUAACUACGU
rnacentral:rRNA from 1 species